rnacentral:lncRNA from 1 species
AUCCAUUGAAGAUCCAAGGGUGGACAUUGAGUGGCCAAGGCUAUAAAUAGAAGGGUAAUCCCCUCAUUUUUACUCACCACACUACAAGCAAACUCAAGAGCUUUCACUCCACACUUGCCCACACGUUUUUGCUUCCAAGCUUCCUAGCUUUCAAGUGCUCAAGUAUUCUAGCUUUCUAAAGCUUCAAAAGCUCUCCAAUUUCUUCUUCUAAUCCUCUUGUUCAUCUUUACAAGUAAGAAGUGUUGUUUGCUUUAAUAUUUCACUCCUCUAAUCACCCCUUGUGUGUGUCUACUUUGGUUGAGAAGGUUGUCUCAAUAAUACCAAAGUGUGAGAGAAGGUUUUUUGAGCUCAACCAUAAAGCUCUAGUUUGGUUUUAUUGAGUUUCCGGGAAAACUCUUAGGUCUAAUCUACCUUGAAAGAUUUCUAGGUUUUUAAGAGUUCCUUGAUACUCUAAGGUACUAACUUACCCGCAAAAGUUAAAGGUUCUUAAGAGUGCCCUCGAUACUCUAAGGUGUGAGUCUACCCGUAAAAGGCUGGUUCCUAAGCGAAGUAGCCUUAAAGCUUAGAGAGGUUUUUAAGAGUUCCUUGAAACUCUAAGAUACUAAUUUACCCACAAAAGUUAGAGGUUCUUAAGAGUGCCCUUGAUACUCUAAGGUGUGAGUCUACCCGUAAAAGAUUGGUUCCUAAACGAAGUAGCCUUAAAGCUUAGAUAGGUUCUUAAGAGUUUCCUUGAUACUCUAAGGUUUUGCCAUAACCUUUAGGCUAGUGAAUUCCAACAGUUGGUCAGGACUGGAUAAGCCUUUGUUUGGGUAAACCAGUAUAAAUCUCUUGUGUUGUUCUUUGUUAACAUUAGCUUUAUAUUUCUUAUAAAAACAACUAAACAACACUUAAUUAAAAAGGAUCCCUCUUCCAGUUAUCUGGUCAAAUAUAGAGGUUGACUAGUUUUCAGCAGAUCCCUCAUCUAGUUAUCUGGUCAACUAUCUGAGAUUAUAUUACUUGUCUUAAUUUCUUUCAAGCAUCUACUUAUCAAAUAUAUACAUCCAGUUAUCUGGUCAAUUACUUGCUUAUCAAUAUAUCCAGUUAUCUGAUCAUUUACUUGCUUAUUAAUAUAUCCAGUUAUCUGGUCAGUUACUCUAUAAUAUAACUUGUGUUUACAAUAUAACUUAGUACUCAUAUACUACGGUUGUUUGUAAAACACUAUCAAGCAAGUUGACUCAGUAUUCAUAUACUGUAGUAAGCUUCGAAGAGUAAUAAUUACGUUAUUAUAUCAUUCAGAGUUAUAAUAUCUCUAUAUCAUUAUUGUUCAACCAUUUGUGUCUUAAGUGUUUACAGGUAAUUACGCAAUCAAUCUGUAUAAAUCAAAAGGAGGCUAUUAUCACCCCUUAUAGCCUCGGAUCACGAUCCAACACAUUUGUCAUCCAUCAGACUCAAAAAUGUCACUCACUCAACACUGUUAAUUGAACUGCGUUUGGAACGAAUCUUGAUUGAAUCUGAUAUAUAUGAACUACCUAAACUUUAGCUACCCAUAACACGCUAGAUAAAUCUUACUGGCUAUUGUCAACCAUAUAUGCCAAACAUGUACGGCGUAUAUUUAUUUCUUGAACAAUUCAUUACUAUUCUGGAUUUUAUUUCUUUUUUAGUGGUGCACAUUAAUGGUUGAUAUGAUAAGUGUUGGUACCAAAGCC